rnacentral:rRNA from 1 species
GACGAACGCUGGCGGCGUGCUUAACACAUGCAAGUCGAACGGAAAGGCCCUGCUUUUGUGGGGUGCUCGAGUGGCGAACGGGUGAGUAACACGUGAGUAACCUGCCCUUGACUUUGGGAUAACUUCAGGAAACUGGGGCUAAUACCGGAUAGGAGCUCCUGCUGCAUGGUGGGGGUUGGAAAGUUUCGGCGGUUGGGGAUGGACUCGCGGCUUAUCAGCUUGUUGGUGGGGUAGUGGCUUACCAAGGCUUUGACGGGUAGCCGGCCUGAGAGGGUGACCGGCCACAUUGGGAGUGAGAUACGGCCGAGACUCCUCCGGGAGGCAGCAGUGGGGAAUAUUGCACAACGGGCGGAAGCCUGCUGCAGCAGCGACGCGUGCGGGAUGACGGAGUUCGGGGUGUAAACCGCUUUCUUUUGUGACGAAGCGUGAGAGACGGUCAGGGGUAAAAAGCACCGGUUACCUCCGU